rnacentral:rRNA from 1 species
CGACCGGCGCACGGGUGAGUAACACGUAUCCAACCUGCCGUCUACUCUUGGACAGCCUUCUGAAAGGAAGAUUAAUACAAGAUGGCAUCAUGAGUCCGCAUGUUCACAUGAUUAAAGGUAUUCCGGUAGACGAUGGGGAUGCGUUCCAUUAGAUAGUAGGCGGGGUAACGGCCUACCUAGUCUUCGAUGGGUAGGGGUUCUGAGAGGAAGGUCCCCCACAUUGGAACUGAGACACGGUCCAAACUCCUACGGGAGGCAGCAUG